UCCUCGGUAGCUCAGUGGUAGAGCGAUCGGCUGUUAACCGAUUGGUCGUAGGUUCGAAUCCCACCCGGGGAG
rnacentral:tRNA from 1 species